UACGUAGGGGGCUAGCGUUGUCCGGAAUCAUUGGGCGUAAAGAGCGUGUAGGCGGCCCGGUAAGUCCGCUGUGAAAGUCGGGGGCUCAACCCUCGAAUGCCGGUGGAUACUGUCGGGCUAGAGUGCGGAAGAGGCGAGUGGAAUUCCUGGUGUAGCGGUGGAAUGCGCAGAUAUCGGGAGGAACACCAGUAGCGAAGGCGGCUCGCUGGGCCAUUCCUGACGCUGAGACGCGAAAGCUAGGGGAGCGAACAGG
rnacentral:rRNA from 1 species